GGCGUGUACUGCUUGGCUGGGCCUUACUUCUUGGUGAGCCGGCGUGCCCUUUAUUGGUGUGCGUCGGGGAACCAGGACUUUUACCUUGAGAAAAUUAGAGUGUUCAAAGCAGGCCUAUGCCUGAAUACAUUAGCAUGGAAUAAUAGAAUAGGACGUGCGGUUCUAUUUUGUUGGUUUCUAGAGUCGCCGUAAUGAUUAAUAGGGACAGUUGGGGGCAUUGGUAUUGAGUCGCUAGAGGUGAAAUUCUUGGAUUGACUCAAGACCGACUAUUGCGAAAGCAUUUGCCAAGGAUGUUUUCAUUAAUCAAGAACGAAGGUUAGGGGAUCGAAAACGAUCAGAUACCGUUGUAGUCUUAACAGUAAACUAUGCCGACUAGGGAUCGGAUGACCUCAAAAUUGAUGUGUCAUUCGGCACCUUACGAGAAAUCAAAGUCUUUGGGUUCUGGGGGAGUAUGGUCGCAAGGCUGAAACUUAAAGGAAUUGACGGAAGGGCACCACCAGGUGUGGAGCCUGCGGCUUAAUUUGACUCAACACGGGGAAACUCACCAGGUCCAGACAUAACUAGGAUUGACAGAUUGAUAGCUCUUUCAUGAUUUUAUGGGUGGUGGUGCAUGGGCCGUUCUUAGUUGGUGGAGUGAUUUGUCUGGUUAAUUCCGGUAACGAGCGAGACUCUAGCCUGCUAAAUAGUCGUUUGAGCAUCCUUUAGUGCUGCUCACGAUUAUAUAUCUUCUUAGAGGGAUAGGCGG
rnacentral:rRNA from 1 species